CUGGCCUUCCCUCUAAGGCCCCAAGAGGGAGCUCCUGAAUCGUAUUUGCAUAUGGGAAAGCUGAAGUGGCUGGCAUUGUGCAACUGGACUGAGGGACUCGGUUGUAGUAAGUAAAAGCAGAUUGUAAUACACAGCGUCGGCUCAUCACUAUUGUGCUACUUGAAAUGUACUUACAAGUAGCCCUUUAAAGAGAUUAUGAAGAAAUAACUGUGCUACUCACCUUUUCUUUCAAGAGAAGCCAAAGGGAAUGAGCAACUCUGCUCUUUCUUCACUGGGUAAAGGGCUCAAAGGGCUCAAUUACUUUUUUUUUUUUUUUUUUUUUUUGAGAUGGAGUUUCACUCUUAUUGCCAGGCUGGAGUGCAAUAGUGCGAUCCCGGCUCACCGCAACCUCUGC
rnacentral:lncRNA from 1 species